rnacentral:rRNA from 1 species
UGCUUACACAUGCAAGNUCGAACGGUUCAGUAUUUUCAAUGGGUUGAUUGAGUAGCAAUACCCAAGAUUCUCAAAGAAAAUACUGGAUAGUGGCAAACGGGUGAGUAACACGUGGAUAAUCUACCCUUGAGUGGGGGAUAACUUUGUGAAAGCGGAGCUAAUACCGCGUAAGACUACAGAAUCGCAUGAUUCAGUAGUAAAAGGCCUUCGAUUUUCGGAGGUUGCUCAGGGAUGAGUCCGCGCCUGAUUAGCUAGUUGGUAAGGUAACGGCCUACCAAGGCAACGAUCAGUAGCCGGCCUGAAAGGGUGUACGGCCACACUGGAAUUGAGAUACGGUCCAGACUCCUACGGGAGGCAGCAGUGGGGAAUCUUGCGCAAUGGGGGAAACCCUGACGCAGUGACGCCGCGUGAACGAUGAAGUCCUUCGGGAUGUAAAGUUCUGUCAGGUGGGAAGAAACUCCUCCGAUUGUAUCGGAGGGAUGACGGUACCACCAGAGGAGGCACUGGCUAAUUCCGUGCCAGCAGCCGCGGUAAUACGGAGGGUGCAAGCGUUGUUCGGAAUUACUAGGCGUAAAGCGCGUGUAGGUGGUUAACUAAGUCGGAUGUGAAAAUUCCGAGCUCAACUCGGANCCUGCAUNCGAACUGGUUAACUUGAAUGUAAGAAAAGAAAGCGNAAUUCCUAGUGUACCGGUGAA